UACAGGAGGGGGCAAGCGUUGUUCGGAAUUACUGGGCGUAAAGGGCGCGUAGGCGGCCUGUUAAGUCGAACGUGAAAUCCCCGGGCUCGAACCCGGGAACUGCGUCCGAUACUGGCAGGCUUGAAUCCGGGAGAGGGAUGUGGGAAUUCCAGGUGUAGCGGUGAAAUGCGUAGAUAUCUGGAGGAACACCGGUGGCGAAGGCGACGAUCCCUGGACC
rnacentral:rRNA from 1 species